UUUCCGUAGGUGAACCUGCGGAAGGAUCAUUAUUGUACAACCAAGGUGCGAGGGCUGUCGCUGACCCGAAAGGUCGUGCACGCCCGAGUGCCCUCACACACAUCCAUCUCACCCCUAUGUGCACCACCGCGUGGGUCCCCCUUUGGCUUGUUCGGAGGGGGGCUUACGUUUUCACACAAACUUUGUAUGCAGUGUAGAAUGUAUUUUUUGUUUUUGCGAUCACGCAAUCAAUACAACUUUCAACAACGGAUCUCUUGGCUCUC
rnacentral:misc_RNA from 1 species